rnacentral:rRNA from 1 species
AGUGAACGCUGGCGGUAGGCCUAACACAUGCAAGUCGAACGGCAGCACAGUAAGAGCUUGCUCUUACGGGUGGCGAGUGGCGGACGGGUGAGGAAUACAUCUGAAUCUACUUUUUCGUGGGGGAUAACGUAGGGAAACUUACGCUAAUACCGCAUACGACCUACGGGUGAAAGCAGGGGAUCUUCGGACCUUGCGCGAUUGAAUGAGCCGAUGUCGGAUUAGCUAGUUGGCGGGGUAAAGGCCCACCAAGGCGACGAUCCGUAGCUGGUCUGAGAGGAUGAUCAGCAACACUGGAAAUGAGACACGGUCCAGACUCCUACGGGAGGCAGAAGUGGGGAAUAGUGGACAAUGGGCGCAAGCCUGAUCCAGCAAUACCGCGUGGGUGAAGAAGGCAUUCGGGUUGUAAAGCCCUUUUGUUGGGAAAGAAAAGCAGCAGGUUAAUACCCCGCUGUUCUGACGGUACCCAAAGAAUAAGCACCGGCUAAAUUCGUG